UACAGAGGUCCCAAGCGUUGUUCGGAUUCACUGGGCGUAAAGGGUGCGUAGGUGGCUUGGUAAGUUCGAUGUGAAAUCUCCGGGCUUAACCCGGAAAUGGCAUUGAAUACUAUUGAGCUGGAGGUUUGGAGGGGGGACUGGAAUUCUCGGUGUAGCAGUGAAAUGCGUAGAUAUCGAGAGGAACAGCCAGUGGCGAAGGCGAGUCCCUGGACAACACCUGACACUGAGGCACGAAAGCUAGGGGAGCAAACAGG
rnacentral:rRNA from 1 species